rnacentral:rRNA from 1 species
GACGAACCGUGCGAACGUUGUUCGGAAUCACUGGGCUUAAAGGGCGCGUAGGCGGGCGGGCAAGUCUGCGGUGAAAGCCUCCAGCUCAACUGGAGAAGUGCCGUGGAUACUGCUCAUCUUGAGGAGGGUAGGGGCGUCUGGAACGUUGGGUGGAGCGGUGAAAUGCGUAGAUAUCUGGAGGAACACCGGUGGCGAAGGCGGCAUCCUGGACCAACAUUGACGCUGAGGAGCGAAAGCCAGGGGAGCAAAGCGGG